GACGAACGCUGGCGGCGUGCUUAACACAUGCAAGUCGAACGGAAAGGCCCUGCUUUUGUGGGGUGCUCGAGUGGCGAACGGGUGAGUAACACGUGAGUAACCUGCCCCUGACUUUGGGAUAACUUCAGGAAACUGGGGCUCAUACCGGAUAGGAGCUCCUGCUGCAUGGUGGGGGUUGGAAAGUUUCGGCGGUUGGGGAUGGACUCGCGGCUUAUCAGCUUGUUGGUGGGGUAGUGGCUUACCAAGGCUUUGACGGGUAGCCGGCCUGAGAGGGUGACCGGCCACAUUGGGACUGAGAUACGGCCCAGACUCCAACGGGAGGCAGCAGUGGGGAAUAUGGCACAAUGGGCGGAAGCCUGAGGCAGCAACGCCGCGUGCGGGAUGACGGCCUUCGGGUUGUAAACCGCUUUCGACUGUGACGAAGCGGGAGUGACGGUAAUGGGUAAAGAAGCACCGGCUAACUACGUG
rnacentral:rRNA from 1 species